CAUAAAUGUAAGUUUAUUCUUACAGAUAGUACUAUGCAAUUUAAUGAUUUUUUAUUUAUUAUGCUUGAAGGU
rnacentral:tRNA from 1 species